AGUCUUUUCAUCCAAACCGCUUUCCACCCAGAUCUCCUUUUCCAAAUCACCCCUCGCCCCAAAUCUGCAAAGAACUUCUCAUUUCCAGGUCACUUCUCAGUAGAGGGGGAGGUUACAGAAACAGGCCCCCACCCAGCAGUUCUUUCCCUACCCUGCCUCUCCUCUUGCAAGAGGGCAGGGGUGGGAAACGUAGGGAGGGGCCGGGGCUCAUACUGCAGUUUCCCCCUUGCUGCUGUGGCUGAGUCUGUGGUAGAAGCGGCGCCACGACUGCAGGGUCUUGCCCGACCAGAUCCAGAAGCCAGUGGUGAUGCCCACGAUCAUGGUCAUCAAGUACUUGAUCAUGAAGACGGUGAAGUCGGGGCUCAUGGGCGGGAAGUGGCCGGGCGGGCAGGGCACGGCAUAGCUCUUGCACGUCUGCAGGAGCCAGGUGCGCUCCCAGUGCUCGCGGAAGGCCUGCUCGUAGAAGUAGCAGGCCAGCACGAUGGUGGCGGGCACUGUGUAGAGCACGCUGAAGACGCCAAUGCGCACCAUGAGCUUCUCCAGCUUCUCGGUCUUGGUGCCGUCGUGUUUCAUGAUGGUGCGGAUACGGAAGAGGGACACGAAGCCGGCCAGCAGGAAGGACGUGCCGAUGAAGAGGUAGACGAACAGAGGCGCCAACACGAAGCCCCGCAGCGCGUCCACACUGGACAGGCCAACAUAGCACACCCCGCUGAGCAGGUCCCCGUCUACCUGGCCCAUGGCCAGGAUAGUGAUGGUCUUGACGGCGGGCACGGCCCACGCGGCCAAGUGGAAGUACUGCGAGUUGGCCUCGAUGGCCUCGUGGCCCCACUUCAUGCCGGCCGCCAGGAACCAAGUGAGAGACAGAAUGACCCACCAGAUGGAGCUGGCCAUGCCGAAGAAGUAAAGCACCAUAAAGAGGAUGGUGCAGCCCUCCUUCUUGGUGCCCUGCGCCACCGUGCGGUAGCCAUCGUCCGAGAAGCGCUCCACGCACACGGCGCGGUCCUCCAGAAGGAAGCCGGCCACGUGCGCCACGGCCACCAUGAAGUAGCAGCCCGACAAGAAGAUGAUGGGCCGCUCUGGGUAGCUGAAGCGCCGCAUGUCCACCAGGGUUUCAAGGCGGGAGCAGAGACAGGAGGAAUGGGAAGAGAAGGAGAGAAAAGACGACAGACAUCUCUCUCCAUUCCUGGGAGAACAAUCGCCUUUGUUCACAGCAGGCUGAGAGAGCUGCUUGGGAAACGCUGGAUCUGGGCUCAGGGCAGGUUAGAGCCUGUGUGUACGCGUGAGGUCUCCCGGUGA
rnacentral:lncRNA from 1 species